UUAAUACUGGAUAGAUCAAAGAUACUGGAAUGUUCUUUGUUCGAAAGCUCCGGCGCCCAAGGAUGGGUCUGCGGCCUAUCAGGUGGUAGUGGGUGUAACGUACCUACUAGCCUACGACGGGUAAGGGUUGUGAGAGCAAGAGCCCUGAGAUGGAUUCUGAGACAUGAAUCCAGGCCCUACGGGGUGCAGCAGGCGCGAAAACUUUACACUGCGGGAAACCGCGAUAAGGGGACCCCGAGUGCCAGCACCUAGUGCUGGCUGUCCAGCUGUUCAAAAAACAGUUGUUAGCAAGGGCCGGGCAAGACCGGUGCCAGCCGCCGCGGUAACACCGGCGGCCCGAGUGGUAGCCGUUAUUAUUGGGUUUAAAGGGUCCGUAGCCGGCCUAUUAAGUCUCUUGGGAAAUCUGGCGACUCAAUCGUCAGGCGUUCA
rnacentral:rRNA from 1 species